rnacentral:lncRNA from 10 species
GGGUGGCGAAGCCUCAGCAGGGCUGGCUGAAAGCAAAGCAGGGCCGUUCAGUCAUUUUCAGCUGUUGCACAGAGUGGCAGUGAGAUGCUGACAACUUCACCCACGUGGGAAUCCUCUGAGGCCACCUGAGAAGGAAUCUCACAGAUGAGAGCUUGGCUGGGGAUGCAAAAGGCCCUGAGACAAGCUUACCACGUUGGUGGCUCCAGGGAGAGAUUCCAAAAAGUUUGCAAAAGAAGAAAAUGCAUCAUCCUUUAAAGAGGCGACGUAACUGACCUCCACGCUGAAAUAUGUGAGUUUCCCAAAUUCAUGAUUCUCCAAGGAAGAACUGAAACCUGGGUAUGAAAACUACUCAGCCUCUUGGGGGAGGGGUGUCUGGCAGAAGCUUGGAGCUGCUCCAGCUGGGCCCUGCUCCCAGAAGAGCAGGCUUGCAGAACAGGCCUGGGCAUGGCCCAGCUCAUUUGAACUGAGUUUCCCCUGUGUGCCAUUGACUGGCCCAAAGAAGACAUAAGAGGGAAGCUUCCCAGGGAGACUGAUUUCCAAUUUUAUCAUUUCCAAUUCAAGCCAUUUCUGGGAAAAGUUCCCAUUGUCCUGAAUGCUCAGUUCAACCAGGUGCACUAGGUUGUCCAGAAUCCUGAGGGGUAGUAUCUAAUUCUGGUCUCUUUCAGCCAAGUGUACCAGGGUCGGCUAGCACCCUUGUCCCUUGGGCAGGAAAGAAAUGUCAGUAUUGCUUAGGAAGUUUCACCAACUCUCAAGGUUAUCAAAUGGUCUCUUCUUUUGAUUCACCUGUCAUUCUGAAGACUGGAUUUUCAUUUCCACAGCUGGCAAGGUGGUGUCUGAGCACCUUGGUAGCCCAUGUCAUAAAGUGAGAUCUCCAGAGACCCCCGAGCACACCAGGCCUUCCAGAUUAGUAGUACAUCUGCUUCAAAGGGCUUAGCCAGAGCCUCCACAGGCCACUUUUUCAACCUUGCAGGAGUAUUAAUGCUCCCCAUCCGAUCACAGGAAUGUCCACGACCAGGAAAUGGCUCUCUGAAGGCUGCCUCCAUAGUCUCUGGAAUUUCCAUGACAGCCAGUGUGGCAAAGAAAUCUUGCAAAGGCUGUUGCUGGAAUAAUCCAUCCCACAGGACUGGAAUCAAAGGACACAGCCAGGCCAGCCACAGAGUUCCAAGAAAAAAAUAAAAAGCUCCCCGGAUACAGUGACGGAUGAAAACUGCCAGGAAAAAGGCUCAAGGAAAAAGGCUUCCCAGCUACCGUGGGACCUCAGCCCCGGAUCCCCAGCUCUGGAAGGAAGCACAUCCUUCACGAUGGCCCGCAAUCACAGCUUCCACGGCACGGAGAUCGUGGAAGUGAAGGCUCUGCGUUGUGUGAGCAACUACUUGUUAGAAGUGGCUCCUGGCAAUGUUUAGACUGGGGACGGGAGGACUGCCUGAGCAUGAUGAAGACUGCUUCCACUUCUGAAGGGCUGUCUGGGGACUGGGUGUCCACCUGCCCAGAGCCAGCGGGAAUGUUACAGGGAGGCCAGCCCAGGGAAGGCUGGGCUGCACAGACAGGGAGUCAGUUUAUCAUCACUGAGCAAACCAGUGGGCAAGGAGAAUGCAGAGAAGGUUCUUGAGGGGCCAGGCUGGACAGCUGCAGUCUGCGCUGAGUGGCGGCCAAGGGGUUCCGCUGCCCCCAGAGUGCUGAGAGUUUGGGCUCUGGCUGGGCCCCACCCUGGGGAGGUGCCCACCAUCCUCCAGGCCAAGUGAGGGGGUGGGUGCCUGCUGGAGAGGCGGCACACCUCAGACGGCUGGAGCAGGAGGUGGGGCAUCCACACGUCCACCCAGGCUUUCAGCCCCUAGUUACUCAGUGAAGAUUUUGAGGCCUGGAGAGAGGGGGCGUGGCUUGUUCACAGACACAGGUCGCAAGUGAGGCAGAGCGGGUGCCACAAAUCAGGCUUCCUAACUGUGAUGUUCAAUUUUAGGUGUCAACCUGAGUGAGCCACAGGGUACCCUGAUGACACACACCGUUCCCAGGUGUGUCUCUGAGGGCGUUUCCCGAUGACAUUGACAUUUGGAAAGGUGGACUCAGCACAGCAGAUCCGCUCCCCAGCCAGGGCAGGCACCACCCAAUCCACUGAGGGCCUGAGUGAACAAAAAGGCAGAGGAAGGAGUAACUGCCCCGCGUCUUCCUGCCUCACUGCUGGAGCGGGGACAUCUCAUCUCCUGCCUUUGCACCGGGAUUUAUAUCAUCAGAUCCCCUGGUUCUUAGGUCUUGGGACUUGGAUGGAAUUACACCACCGCCUUCCCUGGGUCUCCAGCUUGCAGAACCUGAGAUCUCUCAGCCUCUGCAAUUGCAUGAGCCAAUUCCUAUCUAUCUAUCAUCUCUUGUUGGUUCUUUUUGGCUGGAGAACAGACUAAUACACGAAUCUGUCCUUUCCCUCCAAAUGCAGCUGGAAUCUCUGCUCCCCUUUACAAAGCUUCUCUGCGAAAGGAUCUCUCACGCCAUGGUGGGAAGGGGAGCCUCAGACCCAUAGCCUCCACCCCGGGAGGAAAACAGGGCCAGGACACACCAGCAGGCCUCCUUUGAUGAAGACCAUGUGGUUUUGCUCCUUCUGUUACUUUGACCUCUGAACCGCACCCCCACAGACCUAAUGAUUUCCUGGUAAAUCAUUUGUAACACCCGCUUUAGUCUCCUGAAAAAAAACUUCACAGAUAAUAUCGUCAAACCUCGCAGAGAAUUUAAAAAUAAAACCUUCUAUCUGUAAUAUUAAUUAGAAGUCAAAGGUAACUUAUAAUAAAAGAAUUCGUUUCCAUGUGGAAUGUUUGGCCAAGAUCUCACUAACAGACUGGAAGUCACUGUCACUCACUCACGAUGAGUAAAGGAUGAAUUUGUGUCCGUGUUUGACAUUUUGCAAUCAGGGCUAAGCAUUGCCUCGGGAUAAAGAUUCCCAAAGUGCUGAACAACUCUUGAUAAAAUCCCAAAGAAAACAAAGCACAGUCUUCCCAGGAUGCACGUUGCCAGGUGCGGUCCUGAACCGCGCGUCCACGUGGCAGCAGCGCGCAGCAGGAGGCUCCCAGCUGAGAUCCUCGAGGACGGGGUUCGUACCACAUCGGCAUCUGGAGGUCGCAGGGGACGCUUGGAAGCCGUGGAGGGCGCGGGACGAGUCACUGUGCAGGACCGCGGCAGCGCGGGGACAAUCUGGAGCGCCCCGAACGCUUCGCCGCCCCACCGGGUGGCGGGUGGACUCGCCUCCGCCCG